GUGAGGAAUAUUGGACAAUGGGCGCAAGCCUGAUCCAGCCAUGCCGCGUGCAGGAAGACGCAUCUAUGGUGUGUAAACUGCUUUUGUACGGGAAGAAACACUCCCUCGUGAGGGAGCUUGACGGUACCGUAAGAAUAAGGAUCGGCUAACUCCGUGCCAGCAGCCGCGGUAAUACGGAGGAUCCAAGCGUUAUCCGGAAUCAUUGGGUUUAAAGGGUCCGUAGGAGGUUUAAUAAGUCAGUGGUGAAAGCCAAUCGCUCAACGAUGGAACGGCCAUUGAUACUGUUAGACUUGAAUUACAAGGAAGUAACUAGAAUAUGUAGUGUAGCGGUGAAAUGCUUAGAUAUUACAUGGAAUACCAAUUGCGAAGGCAGGUUACUACUUGUGGAUUGACGCUGAUGGACGAAAGCGUGGGGAGCGAACAGGAUUAGAUACCCGAGUAGUCC
rnacentral:rRNA from 1 species